rnacentral:rRNA from 1 species
CACGUAGGGCGCGAGCGUUGUCCGGAAUUAUUGGGCGUAAAGAGCUCGUAGGCGGUUUGUCGACUCUGCCGUGGAAAGUCCGGGGCUCAACUCCGGAUCUGCGGUGGGUACGGGCAGACUAGAGUGAUGUAGGGGAGACUGGAAUUCCUGGUGUAGCGGUGAAAUGGCGCAGAUAUCAGGAGGAACACCGAUGGCGAAGGCAGGUCUCUGGGCCAUUACUGACACUGAGAAGCGAAAGCAUGGGGAGCGAACAGG